GCCUAACCGUAAACUUUAAAUUACAUCUAUAUCGCCCGGGAACUACGAGCAAAGCUUAAAACCCAAAGGACUUGACGGUACCCCACAUCCACCUAGAGGAGCCUGUCCUAUAAUCGAUAACCCCCGUUCAACCUCACCAUUUUUAGCUUAUCAGCCUGUAUACCUCCGUCGUCAGCUUACCACGUGAGCGACUUCCAGUGAGCUUAAUGCCCAUACGCCAACACGUCAGGUCAAGGUGCAGCAGAUAAAAUGGGAAGAGAUGGGCUACACUCUCUAUUCUAGAAAAUACGGAAGACUAUUUAUGAAACCUAGUCAGAAGGCGGAUUUAGUAGUAAAAAGAGAUAAGAGCGCUCUUUUUAACAUGGCACUGGGGUGUGUACACACCGCCCGUCACCCUCUUCAAAGCUAAUAUGAAGUUCUUAACACACUUAAGCACUACAGAAGAGGCAAGUCGUAACAUGGUAAGUAUACCGGAAGGUGUGCUUGGAAA
rnacentral:rRNA from 1 species